CAGACAAAUACAUGCAAAGUGAAGCCUGGAAACACUGUUAAUCAGAGCACGCUUCAAAAAACAAGUGGACAGAAUUAGGCAGAAGGAAAUUCUGUGAUUGUUAGACUGACAUAUUUAUUUAUAAGUGUUAAGAACAAAGUUGUUCAAAGUAGCAGUCUAGAACUAAGAUCCUAAACCUGGACAGAAGUUCUGGAGAAAGUAGGUGAGGAGUCUGUUAAGACAGUGGGUACGUGACAAUCUGAAAACAUGAGUGUACAUUUGGGUGCCUGAGGGUGGUUUUAAGAAGUCAGUCUUAAACUCCCAUCUACUAAUGAAAUCAAACUGAGAAAACGAUGUAAUUUAAUAUCACGAACCUUUCCUUUUUUAACAGGGAUCACACGUAUGGAAGUUGUGGAUAGACCAGAAGAGAAAGGGAGGGAAUACUCCUAUUACUGACAAAUACAUUUGCAGGAGGUAACACGAUGUGCAGGUGGUGGUGUAUCCGGGACGUGCCACGAUACGGCAGCUCGAAAUACUUUGGUGGACAGCACAUGUACAGUGUGUGAAAACAUGCUUCGUGGUACCAGAGGAAAGUGACUUUGGGAUGGAGUCUGCCAAAAUGUGCACACAGGGGCAGAGCUGCUGAAGGAGCAGUAGAGCAAGCUGUCAACAACCAUACUGACACCCUGCGAAGACGGCUGUCACCGCUGUUGGAACAGCAGACAUGGUGCUUUCAUCCGAAAGCUAAAAAGACCAGAGUAGUACAGCAUGAAAACCACAGAUAAUGUUGACACCAUCUGUAUCACACUGCAUAGAAGCAGUCUGUCUCAGAGCGGAGUGCUGAAGAGAUGCAAGUGCAGAAAGCCAAAUGAGCUCCCUCACCACUCACUUCACAGCCUGGUGACAGGAGGCCAUGCCUGACAGGGAUUUUAUCCAGAUGGAGACAUCAGCUGACAGCAUUGGAUAUUGCAGUUGUUGCACACCAGCAAGAGGAAAAACUGCUGGAAAAGACAACCUAUUAUUUUAAAAUCAGCAUUGCUGAGUUCCUGCCGUGUGAGUGUGAAGUUAUAGCAGAAACUGGAAUAAGCAACACAGCUGAAAGCAGGUCCACAGCAAACAUCAAAAGCCAGUCACUCAAGAAUCAGUUGUGGGGAGCACCAAAACAAAAUACUUUGCCUGUUUGAAUACCUGUUGGCACGUUUCUUGGCAAGAAGGAAGCCAGACAGGCUGGUGUCAAGAACCAAAACCGUCCAGGAUCAAGGACAUCUUAGGCAAGUCUUGCAACAAGUAACCUUGGAAUAAACCCAAGGCCUCAGCCUGGGCUUCCCUUUGCAGAGGGGAAUUUCUCUGUGCUUCAGCUGCUGCAUACAGAAGGUGCUUGUGUGGCCCAUCCUGAGCUGGGGAAGGGGAAAAGAGGAAUGUAACUAGCCUUUGCAUCCACUGUAGUGGAGAAAGCCCGUGUUACGCUUGCAAACCAUGUUUCUCUGAGGAUCACUGAAAGGUAAUAAAUCCAUCAUUCAUUGUAAUUUGGGCAGAUGUGUUACAGCAGCCGCCUGCAGCACCCUAUCUCUGUGGAGGGAGCCGGGCUAAUCUUUAUAAAACCAGCUUUUUGAAAAGUAGGAAUUAUCCCUAGCUAACAUAAUAUUUAGUUUCAAAACUGUCGCUCCUAGCAGAUAUCUGUUUUUUAACCAUUCUAUUAAAUAAGUCCUUUCUCCUCUUCCAUUUCAAAUGGAUUACUUUCAUUAAAUGCUUUCACAACUUUUUUUUACACAAAUCAAAAGAGAGAUCCUGGUUUCUUUGGAGACCUG